rnacentral:lncRNA from 1 species
GGGGCAUUUGAGGGAAAUGGCGACUUUCGCAUCAUGUUGUCAAAAUGCAACAACUUCGGCUUGUAUAGGAUUCUUUCUACAGUGUUAUUUUCAUUUUGUUUGUGAAUCCAAUACAAGUCAAGAUACCUAUUAAAAAUCGUAUGUUUUUUGUUUUUGACAAAAUGUGCUAGAAAAGAUAAUAUUAUUCCUUUUACAAAGGCAUGCACGCAAUAAAAUAUUCGAUGUUGGAAAGUAUAUGCGAAAGACAGUUAGGCUGUUGGCAGUUGAAGAGGAAAACAAAAAUGCAAUAUAUACAGCUCAGGACCUUAAGCGAUUAGAUUCCAAGGUAAGAAAGGUUUUACAUAUCUCUUGUAUUUUUUGUAAUCGAGUUUCUGAUUUAUCAUGGUCUUUUAUUCAAUAUAUAUCUUCAUAUUAUGAACUGAGCCCAUCUUGAUCGUGCUAUACACUGGUUUAUUCUUGUCAUAAUGAUAAAUUUAUAUUCGCGCACAAUUUUUGUCUACCACAGUACUUAUUGAACUUGAAGCUCACAAUUGGGUUGGCUUUAAAUAGUAUACAGUUUAUAGUUUAAUAAUUAAAAAUAGAUAUGCUAUAAGUGAUAUAAAACAAACUAUUAUCUAGUCUAAUGGGUUAGCAUAUUUGCAAAAUUGUAAAGCACCUUAACACUUAGAACUGUUAAGGUGCUUUACAAUUUUGCAAAUAUGCUAACCCAUUAGACUAGAUAAUAGUUUGUUUUAAAAGUGUUAAGGUGCUUUACAAUUUUGCAAAUAUGCUAACCCAUUAGACUAGAUAAUAGUUUGUUUUAUAUCACUUAUAGCAUAUCUAUUUUUAAUUAUUAAACUAUAAACUGUAUACUAUUUAAAGCCAACCCAAUUGUGAGCUUCAAGUUCAAUAAAUACUGUGGUAGACAAAAUUAAUAAACUCCCGGAAAGUAGCAUGGUAUAUGAAAGGUACAUCCCGACUGCUAGUUGCUCACACACUUUGAAUAUUAUUGUGUCCUCUGGCUGGAAUCGGCCCUGCAAUCCUGGUGCAAUUGCAGCAUUCUAACCAUCAAAACUGAGCUACAGAGUCCAGUUGUCAAGCUGGAAUUCAUGUGUGUAUACUUGGGUACUGCUGUGUUAGUAUCGCUAAAUACCAAAAUUGAAACCUAUAACCUUUAAAACAUAUUAAUAUUUACUGAUACAUUGACAAGGCAGUAACCAGUAUAUAUACUUGUGGUUAGAGCUCGACAUUUGGACUCUGUACUGUAGUUCAGUUGUUUAGGACACUAGGCCUAUAUAUUAUUCUAAGAGAUUCUGUUGGCAUCCCACUCAUUAUAAUAGUUGAAGGGUCUUGGACAUGGAAAUUGUCGAGUGGAAAUUUAUAGACACUUAUUAUUCCAAAACAAGGAACAGCUGUGAAAAAAAGCAACUGUAGGUCCCUGGCCGGAAUUAGACCUACGAUUCCAGUGCAGCACUCUAACCAACAGAGGCCAGUUGUCGAGCUCUCUUAUGGGUUAGGGUCAUGGCAGUACCUUUUUAGUAUUAUAUAUGUAUAUAGUACCUUAAUUAGUAUAUAUGUAAUAUACAGUAAUGCAUGAACAGGCCUUAGUCCAGCACUGCAGCAUGGCUGCAGGUUCAAUUCCUGCCUGUGACCUAUAGUUGCUUUUCUCACAGUCAUUCCUGAUUAGGUCUAAUAAAUGUUUAUAAAGUUCCACUCAAUAAUUUUGAUGUAAAAGUCUAAGACCUCUCACAUAUCAAUCUAACUAACUAAUGAUUAAACCUACCUUUUAAUUUUCUUUUCCUACAGCUAAUGAUUUAGAUUCAAAAAUUCAAUAGCAAGGAUGAAAGUGGUUUUAAUAGCAAACAACCAAGAAUUGUUCAUGUGACAAGAGCAGCAAAUUGUAGCCAGUCUAACAGUAACUGUUUAACAUGCACAGUCUGUCGAUCCUGGUGAUCAUGAGGAUUUAUCUCAAGUGGCAAAAUUAAUCGACAAAUAGUUUUAGUCACAAAACACAGGAGUUUAAAGAUUCCCAGUAAAGUGCUAAGUGUAUUUAUUAUGCCACACACAGUGCAUGGUAGUAACAUAGAACUAUCUUCAUUUGAAGCUUUGUUUGGUAGCAGGGGCAAAACUACCCCCUUUUAAUUCGGGGUGUCUGCCAGAAUUGCCCUGCCCAAACCGAUGAUGCCCUGCAGCAAAUUUUCAUUUCUGGCCACUGUUUCCCCCAAAAUGCUGGCGAACAGAGGUGGGUGGGUGGGGAGGGGGUGGAAAAUUUUUCUGGACCCCCCCCCUAACUCAAGUUUCGCCCCUGUUUGGUAGGGAUGCAACUACCUGAAAAAUACAAGGACAAUGUUUCGAGCGAAGGCCCUUCGUCGGGAAGUUUGUUGCGGGGUCUGGAAAAUUACAUGAGCUUUUAUGAUCAUGUGACAAAAAUUAAACCAAUCAGAUGCAUUUAGUCAUAACAAAGUAUAUACGAAAAAUAUUAAUAACAAUAUAGAAUAUAUUAAUA